rnacentral:rRNA from 1 species
UACGUAGGUGGCAAGCGUUGUCCGGAUUUACUGGGCGUAAAGGGCGUGCAGGCGGUUUGUUAAGUGCAGGGUGAAAGCUCCCGGCUCAACUGGGAGAGGUCCUUGCAUACUGGCGAACUCGAGGGAGGCAGAGGAAAGUGGAAUUCCCGGUGUAGUGGUGAUAUGCGUAGAUAUCGGGAGGAACACCUGUGGCGAAGGCGGUCUGCUGGGCCGUUGCUGACGCUGAGGCGCGACAGCGUGGGGAGCAAACAGG